GCGAUUGAGCUGAGCCUGAGGCUCGGGGGGACACCUAAACAAUUGAAACAAAGAGGGAAACGCAGGGGAGCCCAUCGCAUGGGCGCGGGGGUAGCAAAUCGAAGACCCAUUCAAAAUGGGCCUGCCGGAAAGGCAGUUCUACCUUAAGAUUCUAAACACACUUCUCUCCUACGGAAGAAGAGGGGACGCUCGACAGGUCUCGAGUGCAUGGUAACCGAGCGGACAGACCCCAAGGCUGCAGGACGCAGGCCGCCCCAACUCCACGAGGCGGUCGGUUGAACCCGGAGCCCCCCGCGCAGGGACCUCUUCAUUUUGGGCCCUCGUCAGAGAAAUCGGGCCUCAGAGACGGAAAGAAGGGCACCAUACAGUGAAGUCCUGACGACAGGCCCCCACCCUCACAUGUCCCACUCCUAAAGGCCAAAAAGCCGGACCCACAGCGGAAGAGUAAUAAAGAGGCCUGGGGUACAGUGCCGCGUCCGAGUCAGGUGACAAGUGCCUCUUCCAAGAGCCCGUUUUCUGGGCACGAAGCUCCCGCUGAACGUGGAGACGGGGCGUGUGGGCCAGGGGGUGGGAGGAGGGGACCUAGUAACGCUCCCGAGACGAAAAGAAGCGAAGGCUCCAGCGACCAGGGUCGGAGGGGCCGCAGAGCCCGGCCGCAGCCACCCCUCCCUUCCCCGCCAACUCCUGGCACCUUUUUCUUCUCCAGGUUCCGAAGUUUCUUGUCGAUCACCCCGAGAAUCUGCUUCAUGGCCUCGGUCUGGACAGCGCCGGUGCCGGUUGCGGGGUGCUGAGAAGCCGGCGCGGCGGCCCCGGCUCCCGCGGCCGCCUCACUCCCGGAGGAACCCGACGGCGGUGGCGGUCCGGACGACUUGCUGCCGCUCCCGCUGUGGCUGGUGGCCGAGGGCAUCUUCAGACCGCAAGGAGAGAGAAGAAAAAGCGGGAGGAAGGACAAGAGCGGCCAGUCAGGAGACGGACGGGGCGAGACGCGGGACAAAACGCGCAGCGAGCGGUUUACCUAACACUGUAAAGAGAACGUUCAAUGAAAUACAAAGAAAAAGAUGAUUUUUUUGCUCCAAGAGAAUUAUUCCAGCCUUGGGGUGGAGUGGGUGUGGACAGUGAGCAGAAAAACAAGAAACCAAGUUCUGGGAGGAAAUAAAAUGAAUAUAAUCAGUGGAAAAUUCAGCAACGCAAUAUUGUGUGACAACAGUAAAUGACCAAUUUAUAAUUUAAAUUCUAUGAAAAAGAGAUUUAGAAGAGAGUUCUACCAAACCCACUGUUCCCUAGGGAAUAAAAUGAGUAACGCUGACUGGCAACAGUGCAUCCUGAGGGAGCCUGGAGAAACAACAGCAGCCUCCGACCUCAAGAUAUCCUGGUAGUGCUGUGACAGUGUCUUAAGUAGGGCAUGUUGAUAGAUGGAAAAGGACGGCAAACUCGAGGUGCUGAUUCAGGAAGAAGCAGAUUCCAAGAUGGAAGAGAAAAUAUCGAGAGAAAUAUGCCGAGAGAAGAAUCCAGGCAGAAUGGAAUCCAGGCAGAAUGGUGAAUGGAAGGUUCGGGUGACCAAGAGAAAGGAAGGGUGACUCAGCAAGUCUGUAGUUUCAGCUCUUGUAUAGUACGUUAUACUUGAAAAGCUGAAGCCUUUUCUCGGGGAAGAGUCAGAACGGCCUGGAGGGCUUGCUAAAGCGCUGCUGGCUGGGCCCCGCCCGCUGAAUGACUAAUGGAGACUCUGAGGGCCGGCUGGUAAUUUGAGUUUCUAACAAGCCCUGUUUCGAUGCUGGUACAGCCGAUCUAGGGAAAAUAUUGGAACAAGGAAAAAACUAAGAAGAAAUUUUAAAAAGUAAUCAAAGGCGGCCAAGUGAGGUGGCUCACGCCUGUGAUCCUAGCGCUUUGGGAGGCCGAGGCGGGCAGAUAUCUGAGGUCAGGGGUUUGAAGACCAACAUGGAGAAACCACGUCUCUACUAGAAAUACGAAAACUAGCCAGGCGUGGUGGCUAAUGCCUGUAAUCCUAACUAGUCAGGAGGCUGAGGCAGAGGAGUCGCUUGAACCCAGGAGGGGGAGGUUGCAGUGAGCCGAGAUCGCGCCACUGCACUCCAGCCUGGGCAACAAAGACUCCAUCUCAAAAAAAAAAAAAAAAGUAAUAAAAAAUGACAGUAGUGUACUGUAA